CACUUUCCCAACUCCUUUUCAAUUUCUCACAUUAAAGACCACUUUUAAUGACUCUGACUCUAUCCCCUGGGAAGGAAAUGGACUAUCUAUUUAGUUUGCCCUGCUUUGGGGGUUACUGGAGUUGGAAGAGUUUGUAGAAGAUUUGGGGUUUUAGGAGAUUGUGUCAUCACAAGUCACAGACCAUUGUAAUUGGAGAAGCCUUCUGGAAGAGGCCAUCAGAGAAGGCACCCAGUGGUUGCCCUCGGGAUGGAUGAUGAGCCAUUUGGUUGGUCAGGGGCAAGGCUCAUUGUGCGGAACCGGAGUCUUGGUAUUUUUAAUUGCCCUCAUAAUUUUUAUUACCAGUUAUGAGUAUCCUGGGUGACUAUGUCAUAGACCAAGAAAAUAACCUCUGAACAGAAUAUGCCAAGAGUGAAGUGGGCUGGGGCAUUUCAUUUCUAAAAGUACACAUGGCAUGGAGUCAGCAGCUUCACGCUGGGAAGUGCCCGAGAAAAGGGGAGGAGCGAUGCACCCCUGGCCUGCUGAGAGGAGUCUGUGCCAGCCUCACUUCUGAUGCCUCACAGCUCUCUGACACGAUUGCAUCCCCCAGAUGCCUCACGGAGAAAAUGUGAAUUUGGGACUGGUGACACGUCAAUUAAUUUCACAACACCGGAAAGCACACUCAGGAUGCUGGUCUUAUCACGUGUUGGAUCUCACUGGAUUAGCUGUUUUCCCUCCAGUGGCUGGAGCCUAGGACCAUCCUGGAUGGCAGCAUCUCAGACUCAGAAUAGUGCAGCAACAGGGAAAGCUAUUCAAAAAGUAUAUCCAGUGGGAAGAGAGUUCUCAAAAAAUUGUUGUCUGUUUACUCUGUUGAUAGUUCCUUUUGGUGCAAGCAUCUGGAAAGCUCUCAAGUACCAGACUGGGGUUAUAGGUUCUUGGGAGGAAGGCCACAGAGAUAGAGGGCCAUUUUCAUCACAUCCUGUCAAGGCACUUGCUCGCUUUUUGGCACAGUAAGAUACUUCGGGAUCAUCUCGUAUACUUCCUGUUCCAGUCCUAGAAUCAGCAAUUUUUCUGAGAACCCCUGGCUCCUUUCAUGAGAGAAUGAUGUUAGACACCAAGAUCUGGGUGCCUGUGCUUGCUGGUGCUGGGGUAUAGUUGCUUGCAGGCACUUUGACCUGACAGAGCAAGAAAAUACAUAUGCAUACCAACCUGCAUGUGUACACAUUUCUGUGUGUGCCUAUCUCUACAUCAAGAUAAACAUGAGUUCACAGUGAUGUUUCCAAGACUAAUCCACUACCAUAUGGGUCAUUAGAGCCUCCUCUCUUGCUUGUUGCCUCUCCCACAGUGAGAAACCUGGCUCUUACCACCUGCCAUUCAUUUACUUAAUUGUUCAGUUGUAGUGUACAUGUAUAGUGUUUUCAGAAUCAUUUUUUUUGCUUACUCUAUAAGCUAACCAUUACCUUCUGCCUCAGCUCAGUGCUUUUGUGCUUGUGCCUUACAUUCCCUACUGUAAAUCCACAAAGACAAGAUUUGUAUAUAUUUGAUUCUCCUUUAUUUCCAUUGUAGAAGAAGGAAUUUAUUUGUCUCAUGAUUUUUUAAAGAAAUAUUUUAGAUUCCUUAAAAUAGGGCCAUUUUAGGAGAAGGAAUUCUAUGCAUGUGUGGGGACAGGUGGGUGCAACUUGGAAGUUCUGUUAACAAGAAAAGCUUGUGAUGAUGGGUGUGAAAAUGAGUGGGAGGUGGCUGUGGUGAACAAGAUGUCUCCAGACUAAAGAAUUACAGGAAAUUAUCCAGGUGGAUUCAAUCUAUAGUAUGUGUCAUUGCCACAUGGAAUAUGGGAUGACCAGAUUCUAACUCAAUGGUUCUAAGUCAUGUUGAUAUCUAACACAAAGAGCAGUGACUUUUUUCUGGGCUCAUGAGAUAGAGGAGUCUAAAAAGCAGAGAAAUGAAGAAAUCACUGGGGUGAGGAAAAGGCAUUUAAAAGAAUUAUGGGCCUUUUGGCAGAAACCAAUUUUCAAGAGUUUGAGUGUAGAUUGAUAUUUUUCCCUUCUACUUUUUCUGUAUCUUCUAAAUGUUCCCAAA
rnacentral:lncRNA from 10 species